rnacentral:tRNA from 1 species
GGCGGGGUAGCUCAGCUGGUUAGAGCAGAGGAAUCAUAAUCCUAAGGUCGCCGGUUCGAGUCCGGCCCCCGCUACCA